UACGUAUGUCCCGAGCGUUAUCCGGAAUUAUUGGGCGUAAAGCGAGCGCAGACGGUUGAUUAAGUCUGAUGUGAAAUCCCCGGGCUCAACUCCGGAAUGGCAUUGGAGACUGGGUAACUUGAGUGCAGUAGAGGUAAGUGGAACUCCAUGUGUAGCGGUGGAAUGCGUAGAUAUAUGGAGGAACACCAGAGGCGAAGGCGGCUCACUGGAAUGAAACUGACGUUGAGGUGCGAAAGUGUGGGGAGCAAACAGG
rnacentral:rRNA from 1 species